rnacentral:rRNA from 1 species
GUGCCAGCAGCCGCGGUAAUACGUAGGGCGCAAGCGUUAUCCGGAUUUAUUGGGCGUAAAGGGCUCGUAGGCGGUUUGUCGCGUCCGGUGUGAAAGUCCACUGCUUAACGGUGGAUCGGCGCCGGGUACGGGCAGGCUGGAGUGCGGCAGGGGAGACUGGAAUUCCCGGUGUAACGGUGGAAUGUGUAGAUAUCGGGAAGAACACCGAUGGCGAAGGCAGGUCUCUGGGCCGUCACUGACGCUGAGGAGCGAAAGCGUGGGGAGCGAACAGGAUUAGAUACCCUGGUAGUCCACGCCGUAAACGGUGGAUGCUGGAUGUGGGGCCCGUUCCGCGGGUUCCGUGUCGGAGCUAACGCGUUAAGCAUCCCGCCUGGGGAGUACGGCCGCAAGGCUAAAACUCAAAGAAAUUGACGGGGGCCCGCACAAGCGGCGGAGCAUGCGGAUUAA